UACGGAGGUUGCAAGCGUUGUUCGGAAUGACUGGGCGUAAAGGGAGCGCAGGCGGUGCGGCAAGUCUAAAGUGGAAGCCCGGGGCUUAACCUCGGAAGUGCUUUGGAUACUGCCGUACUCGAGUUCGUGAGAGGAGAGCGGAAUUCCAGGUGUAGCGGUGAAAUGCGUAGAUAUCUGGAGGAACACCGGUGGCGAAAGCGGCUCUCUGGCACGAUACUGACGCUGAGGCUCGAAAGCAUGGGGAG
rnacentral:rRNA from 1 species